GAGAUUUCCUUUCAUAUCCCUUCUCUCCUUCCACAAAGAUAAUCACUCUUUCUCUCUGUCACCCAGAGAAGGGCUGAGCUCUUGAGUCCCUUUAUUUCACAGUUUUGCUUCUCCCUGCGUUACCAUGGUAACAUGGAUACCGUUCAGUCCCGUCUUCAGUGAGAGGCAGGCAGCCUUUGCAGGUGGCUGUGCUUUCAUGCAAAGAAUGCUACAAAUGCAGCUCCUUCCAAACAACUGACUCCCGCUUGCCUGCCUCUCCUUCAGUGGGUGUGUGAUCUUCAUUACUGGUGAUAUUAAAGUGGCUUUUGUUAAUGGCUUAGGAUAACUAGCUGGCUGGGGAAAUCCAUGUUCGUACACAGGUCCAGAAAAACUAUCCAGGGGACUGUUGUGUCGUCCACCAUACGCGCCCUCCUGGGUGGCUUGCAGGAGUCACCCCUCUUCCCCAUUAUCCACAGUGUAUUUAUACCGGUGUUCUCUGUUUGUCUGUUGCCAGUUUGUCUGGUUUGUCAAGUCAACCAGUGUUUUUUUGUAUCAGCUCCUUCUUUUCCCCAGUCUCUCUUUUCUCAUCCUCCUGGUUUUGACCCUUGGCUGUCCUGACCCCGAGCCCACCCAGGAUUCAGCUGGGAAUGCUGUGCCUCCCGGACCUGUUUCCCUAUAUCCCAGCUGAGUGCCGUUGCCAGGCACGAUGUAUGGAAGGAUGGUCUUAGGCUCCGGGGUAAUAGCAGUGAGGCUAUAAUGGCGAGACAGUGCAUCCGGCUUGACAUUCUAGGAUCCCGGCCAAUAUGAGAGGGAGAAGUUGAACUGUGUGAAAAGCAGGGCCCAUCUAGCUUGCCUGGAGUUGAAGCAUUUGACAGUGAGGAGAUACUCCAGAUUUUUGUGGGCACAACCUGGGUGCAUACCUGGUUGACCGGGGUGCUGGCGGUGAAAGUCGGCAAUGAGGACUGGAUGUAUCUAGCAAGGACCCAGCACCUCUCCUCCGGGUCAUAACCCUGCCAGUCAAUCAGGUACUGGAAACCCCUGCCCCGUGGUCGCACACUCAGGAGGCGUCUCACCGUGUAAGCCGGUUGGACUGGGGUGGAACCCAUUGGACAGGCUGGCCGACAAUUCAAUGAGGGUGCAGAACAUCUUCCAGAACUGGGACAAGAAUUGAGGACCCCGGUCGGAGACCAUGUCCACGGGCAGUCCAUGGAUCCGGAAGACGUGCUGCACCAUGAGCUGGGCCGUCUCCUUGGCCGAGGGUAGUUUGAGGAGAGGAAUGAAGUGGGUGGCCUUGGAAAACCGGUCGACCACAGUCAGGAUGGCAGUGUUGCCCUCAGAUGGGGGCAGACCCAUGACAAAAUCCAGGGAUAUGUGGGACCAGGGACGGUGAGGGACAGGCAGAGGUUGCAGAAGGCCAGCCGGAGCUUGCUGAGGAGUUUUGUUCUGAGCACACACUGUGCAAGCGGCAACGAAUGCGGAGACAUCAGGGACCAUGGUGGGCCACCAAAAGCGUCGUUGCACAAAUGCCAGGGUCUGGCACGAACCCGGGUGGCAGGCCAGUCUGGAGGAGUGGGCCCACUCCAGGACUGCGGAUCGGACCACGUCAGGCAUAUAGAGUGGCCAGAUGGAAGCCACUUCUCAGUAAAAGACACAUGACAGCCCACUUGGAGUUUGCCAAAAG
ensembl:lncRNA